AUUGAACGCUGGCGGCAGGCCUAACACAUGCAAGUCGAACGGUAACAGGAAGCAGCUUGCUGCUUUGCUGACGAGUGGCGGACGGGUGAGUAAUGUCUGGGAAACUGCCUGAUGGAGGGGGAUAACUACUGGAAACGGUAGCUAAUACCGCAUAACGUCGCAAGACCAAAGAGGGGGACCUUCGGGCCUCUUGCCAUCGGAUGUGCCCAGAUGGGAUUAGCUAGUAGGUGGGGUAACGGCUCACCUAGGCGACGAUCCCUAGCUGGUCUGAGAGGAUGACCAGCCACACUGGAAGUGAGACACGGUCCAGACUCCUACGGGAGGCAGCAGUGGGAAUAUUGCACAAUGGGCGCAAGCCUGAUGCAGCCAUGCCGCGUGUAUGAAGAAGGCCUUCGGGUUGUAAAGUACUUUCAGCGGGGAGGAAGGGAGUAAAGUUAAUACCUUUGCUCAUUGACGUUACCCGCAGAAGAAGCACCGGCUAACUCCGUG
rnacentral:rRNA from 1 species